UACGUAGGUCCCGAGCGUUGUCCGGAUUUAUUGGGCGUAAAGCGAGCGCAGGUGGUUUAUUAAGUCUGGUGUAAAAGGCAGUGGCUCAACCAUUGUAUGCAUUGGAAACUGGUAGACUUGAGUGCAGGAGAGGAGAGUGGAAUUCCAUGUGUAGCGGUGAAAUGCGUAGAUAUUAGGAGGAACACCAGUGGCGAAGGCGGCUUACUGGACUGUAACUGACGUUGAGGCUCGAAAGCGUGGGGAGUAAACAGG
rnacentral:rRNA from 1 species